rnacentral:rRNA from 2 species
CUGUAAGACUGGGAUAACUCCGGGAAACCGGGGCUAAUACCGGAUGCUUGAUUGAACCGCAUGGUUCAAUCAUGAAAGGCGGCUUCGGCUGCCGUUUACAGAUGGACCCGCGGCGCAUUAGCUAGUUGGUGAGGUAACGGCUCACCAAGGCGACGAUGCGUAGCCGACCUGAGAGGGUGAUCGGCCACACUGGGACUGAGACACGGCCCAGACUCCUACGGGAGGCAGCAGUGGUCAUAGC